rnacentral:lncRNA from 1 species
AGUGCUGAUCAGACCUGGUGAGCACAAAGUCGCAAAUUUCCCAGACACCCUGACCAGAGACACACAUGUAUACCAAGGACAGGAAUAAAUACCUAAAAAUGCAAGGCGCUACCACCUUCUUAGAUGUCUUGGUGAGAGGUCCGGUGUUCAGAGGGCACAUUGAGAUACAAGGCGAAGGCCUUUUUGGAUCUGUAGUGUGCUACCUCUUUAAUGGGAAAUCUUAGAGGCUAUCAGUAUUGAAUGGUGACCAGAGGAAAAUACUGCUCUACAUAUAGGUCUGGGCUGUCAUACAAACUGAUCUGCUACUGGGGCCUCAUGACCUAGCAGAUCCAAAAGUAUUCAACAUGUUUGUGGCAGAUGCAAAUGCUGUUUAGAACCUUUGGGAGGUCGCUGUAGAAGCACAAUGCAAAACUUCAGGAUUUUGGAGCAAAGCUUUGUCAUCUUUCGCACACACAGUGUUCUCUUUUGAUAGCUCCUGGUGUGCUACUGGACUCUAGCAGACACAGAAUGUCUGACUCUGCGCCACUAAGUAACCAUUCAACCUCCUCUGUCCUUCAAGAACUGGGAAAUGUCUGAAAAAACAAGCAAUGAAAUGUGUGUAUAGCAGCACUCCAUUACAAGUUGUAGUUUUAUAUAUGAGAUUGGUCUCAAGCAAGACCUAAAGGUAAAAAAGUAAGAGGCUCAGAUUUGCAUGGCUCCUCCUCUUGCUGCAUUAACUGCUGUCUCUCAACGCAAGCAUACUGUAACAUAUUGAUGGAGGAGAAAAAUACUGAGUCUCACUUACAGAUAAUUCUGUGUAAUGUGCUGGCAUCACCUAAAAGUGGAAAACUGCAAGAUUACUGCCCCAUCCAAGAAAACCCUUCAGCAGCCCCAUUCUUCAGGAACUGUGAAGGACUGUGGCAAAGAGAUGAUAAAUAGCCAAAGAUGUCAAUGGCACUCAUGGACAUAGUAAGCAUAGUAGGAGCUGAAACACUAGAAGCACUGACAAUGUCAACUAUUUUGAGCAAAAAGAAGCAGUGUCUUCGGAACAUUUGAUCAUAAAACCAGAAAUUAUG